GCACCGGUAGCUCAGCUUGGAUAGAGCGGCAGCCUCCUAAGCUGUAGGUCGGGGGUUCGAAUCCCCUCCGGUGCG
rnacentral:tRNA from 1 species